UGCAAGUCGAACGAGCGAGAGAGAGCUUGCUUUCUCGAGCGAGUGGCGAACGGGUGAGUAACGCGUGAGGAACCUGCCUCAAAGAGGGGGACAACAGUUGGAAACGACUGCUAAUACCGCAUAAGCCCACGACCCGGCAUCGGGAAGAGGGAAAAGGAGCAAUCCGCUUUGAGAUGGCCUCGCGUCCGAUUAGCUAGUUGGUGAGGUAACGGCCCACCAAGGCGACGAUCGGUAGCCGGACUGAGAGGUUGAACGGCCACAUUGGGACUGAGACACGGCCCAGACUCCUACGGGAGGCAGCAGUGGGGAAUAUUGCACAAUGGGGGAAACCCUGAUGCAGCGACGCCGCGUGGAGGAAGAAGGUCUUCGGAUUGUAAACUCCUGUUGUUGAGGAAGAUAAUGACGGUACUCAACAAGGAAGUGACGGCUAACUACGUGCCAGCAGCCGCGGUAAAACGUAGGUCACAAGCGUUGUCCGGAAUUACUGGGUGUAAAGGGAGCGCAGGCGGGAAGACAAGUUGGAAGUGAAAUCCAUGGGCUCAACCCAUGAACUGCUUUCAAAACUGUUUUCCUUGAGUAGUGCAGAGGUAGGCGGAAUUCCCGGUGUAGCGGUGGAAUGCGUAGAUAUCGGGAGGAACACCAGUGGCGAAGGCGGCCUACUGGGCACCAACUGACGCUGAGGCUCGAAAGUGUGGGUAGCAAACAGGAUUAGAUACCCUGGUAGUCCACACCAUAAACGAUGAUUACUAGGUGUUGGAGGAUUGACCCCUUCAGUGCCGCAGUUAACACAAUAAGUAAUCCACCUGGGGAGUACGACCGCAAGGUUGAAACUCAAAGGAAUUGACGGGGGCCCGCACAAGCAGUGGAGUAUGUGGUUU
rnacentral:rRNA from 1 species